rnacentral:lncRNA from 1 species
UGGACACAGAACUUUCAUUUCUUUCAUGACAUUAGAUGCCUUUUCUGUUGUGUGUUGUCAUAAUCUGUAGAGCUGCAUCAUUUACACUCAAUGGGAAAUUGAAGUAAAGUCUAGUCAUAACUUAGACUACCUGUAAUAGGACCUCUUCAUUGGACAAAAUGUUUCAGGGUUAAAAGUCACCAAAAGUCAGUCUGUCAUGGUAGGUCUUGUUUGUUUGUUUGUUUUUUGAUGGAAACUGUGCACACAUGCAGCUCCUGUUCUUGGGCAAGCAUUCAUAGCGAGGAGUACACUGCUGAAGUCCUCUGUGGCAAAGUCCAUGUUUUUCAGUUUCUGCCCUCUUUUUCUCUUUUUGAUUGAAGAAAGGGGAGGAGGGUGCAGAAUACAGCCAGAUUAUGGUUAUCAGGUAACAGCAAUUAUAUCAGCCGCUCACCAGUAGCAGUUGCCCUUCUCCUAAUAAAUAAUACUUAAAAUUUAUUAUGCAGUCAGAAUUUUGGUUGAUUUGUUUAGUUAAUAAUGUGAACUUUCAGGGUCAUUUCUGUUAUUAACACUUCCAUUCGCUGAUAUGCAGUAUUGUCACCAGGACCUACAAAAUUUCCUCUCCAUUGGCUGAAGAAAUUUUCUCCUGGAAUAAGAUAGCAUCUUAUUGCUCAGAAAGACAGCGUAGCUAUUGUGUUAAAAUUUGUAAACUGGGGCCUUUAUCGCAAACAAGCUAGGCAACGAUUUUCAUUUGCAUUGUGAAUGAAUGUAUAAUUAAUGAAUUCCCCUUCUCUCAUUUUGCAGGUACUCUGAAUAUGGAAGAGCCAUUUCAGAGACUGAGCAAGGCUGUUGCUACAGCCAGCAAACACGUGUGUUUCAUUCCCAUUGACAUCGUUGUGGAGGUGCAAGAGGAACACCAAAUCCUAAGACUUAUUGCAGCUUAUGGAAAAAAAUGGAGCUGGGAAUUUACAUCAGACCUGGCAAGAGUGAGUGGUGGUGUGGGAUAAACUGAAGGGAUUGUUCCUGGCAAACUCAAGGUAAGAGCAUACCUGUACCUCCAUUUCAGAGAGUAAGUUGAAGUAGAAAAAGAUAUUGUAAGGUUGAUGCAGUUAUAUGAAUACAGAUACACUUUUGUAAUGCACAGCAUGUACUAUGGGGCUGUAAGGCAUCAUUGUUCUGGUAUAACUGCAUAUGUACCAAUUGUGCUGGUAUAACAAUGUUAGUAAAAAUGUUCUCCUAACUGACGGAGUUAUGCCAAUAAAACUUUUACAGGUACAAGACCCGUAAGAUUG